AGCAGCCGCGGUAAUUCCAGCUCCAAUAGCGUAUAUUAAAGUUGUUGCAGUUAAAAAGCUCGUAGUUGAAUUUCGGGGUUAGUAGAUUGGUCAUGCCUCUGGUAUGCACUGGUCUCACUGAUUCCUCCUUCCUGAUGAGCCGUAAUGCCAUUAAUUUGGUGUUGCGGGGAAUUCGGACUGUUACUUUGAAAAAAUUAGAGUGUUUAAAGCAAGCUAACGCUUGAAUACAUUAGCAUGGAAUAAUGAAAUAGGACGUUCGAUCCUAUUUUGUUGGUUUCUAGGAUUGACGUAAUGAUUAAUAGGGAUAGUUGGGGGCAUUAGUAUUCAAUUGUCAGAGGUGAAAUUCUUGGAUUUAUUGAAGACUAACUACUGCGAAAGCAUUUGCCAAGGAUGUUUUCAUUAAUCAAGAACGAAAGUUAGGGGAUCGAAGACGAUCAGAUACCGUCGUAGUCUUAACCAUAAACUAUGCCGACUAGGGAUCGGAUGAUGUUAAUUUUUUAAUGACUCA
rnacentral:rRNA from 1 species